rnacentral:misc_RNA from 1 species
AGCUCAAGUUUCUGUUUUGUUGCCUAAAAAAUAGUCUUCACAUCAACAAGGCAUGUGAAAUUAUUGAAACUCAAACAAACAAAGAAAAACUGUUGAAGAAAACAUGUAACCAGUACGGAGGCUUGCAAAAUAAUCACAUGGGUGCGCCAUGCACGCGAACUAAGACUGAAUUUUUACUUUGAAUUCACUAAAAAUCCUUAGUCUAGUGCAACAGACACAUUAAUUUGUUUCUUUGCUGUUCUUCUCUUUUAACACAUCUAUAA